rnacentral:rRNA from 1 species
UUUAAAAACCCCACUUUUUAAGUUGGGGCGACUACGGAAAUAAAAAAAACCUCCACGACAGGACUGACAAUCCAAAAAAGGAAUCACACACCAACUAAGCUGACCAACGAACCAAGUUACCCCAGGGAUAACAGCGCCAUCCUCUUCAAGAGCCCCUAUCGCCAAGAGGGUUUACGACCUCGAUGUUGGAUCAGGACCCCCUAGUGGCGCAGCCGCUACUAAAGGCUCGUUUGUUCAACGACUAACGUCCUACGUGAUCUGAGUUCAGACCGGAGUAAUCCAGGUC